rnacentral:lncRNA from 1 species
ACACAUGCAAGCACACGCCACAAGACAUGCACACACGGACACAUGCAGGACACAGAUACACUGACAGGUACACACAUGGACACACAGAUACAGCAAGACAGGCACACACACACACACGGACACAGAUACAGUGACAGGCACACGCGCACAGAGACAGACAUGCACAGAUGGGCACACUCACGCACGGACACACAGUGAUACACCAACAGGCACACACAGACGCAGACAUGCACAGAUGGGCACACACACAUGGACAUACAGAUAUAGCGACAGGCACACACAGACGCAGACAUGCACAGCAACAGGCACACACAGACGCAGACAUGCACAGAUGGGCACAGACAGACACGCACGGACACACAGAUACACCAACAGACAGGCACGCACACAGACGCAGACAUGCACAGCUGGACACACACACACACGGACAUACAGAUACACCAACAGACAGGCACACGCACAUAAACAUAGACAUGCACAGAUGGACACGCAGACACACAUGGACAUACAGAUACAGCGACAGGCACACACACACGGAUGCAGACAUGCACAGAUGGGCACACGCACGGACACACAGAGAUACCCCAACAGGCACACAG